CGCUCCUCCCUGCUCACUUCCACUGUCUCUGUCCGCCAUGAUGCCUGCCUGCCUUCUCCCUCCGUCUGCUGCAACCUCACAGCCAGCCAGCCAGCCACGCGGCCGCUCUCGCGAGAUCUCUGCAAACAGACAGACAGUAACCGCUUUAUCCUAGUCAGGAUGUUGGUCGCGCUGGAUCCGGAGCGCAUCCUGGGAAUACCGGGCGCGAGGCGGGAAAACACCCUGGAUGUGACGCCACGCGCACACAUUCCCAUCAAAGGGGCAGUUCGCCAAUCCACCUACCGGCAUGUUUUUUUGGGAGGUGGAGGAAAACCGGAGGAAACCCACGAGGACGCGGGGAGAGCAUGCGCAUCUCCACACAGAUCGGACCGGCGACCCGCUGCACCACCAUGCCGCACAGUUGAGUUUUAUAUCUUUGCAAAUUAUUUGGGUAGUGCAGAAAAGUAUCCUGAUGACUUUCAUGAUAAAGAUCAAGAUUUACAGUUUUUAAAAUUUACUGAUCACGUUCAUAUAUAUAUAUAUAUAGUUUAUAAAGGAAACUACGGACUCUGUAGUCUCGUAGUUUCCAUGCAUUUUUAAAGCGUUAAAUUAAGACCAGUGUCAAUAAAAUUAAAGGAAAUGAAGUUCCCUUAAAAUUGCUAUAUCAGUGUUUCCUUAAAAAGCGGUAUAUAUUGGCUGAAGUAAGAGUUACGGGCGGAAUAAAUAGUAUAUAGCUAUUAUAAUAAUAUAUUCCACAUUGGACACAGAGAGAGGUUUGACUUUUUUCUGUCUGAGGAAAAGCUGACUUUUAACAUCCUUUUAUUAACACUAAAGAUAUCAGGUAUAUCAACAAAGCUACUUGUUCGUAUAAAAUUAUAACAGGCAAUAAAAAUGCCAAUAAGAUUUCUAAGAAGCACUGGCACAUGGAUGUUCAAGUAGCACAGUCUUUUCUCCGUGGAGAAAAUAAAGACCAAUCAAAUGCAAUCAGAAGAAAUAAGUCUAUAAAAGACAAUGACUUUAAAUAUUUUGUGAAACUGGAAGCACCGGCUUGAAGUUUGCCAGGUUUAGAGAAGUGCAAUAAUAAUAGUAAUUAAAAAAAAAAAAAAAAAAAAAAAAAAAAAAACAGUGUUGAGGAGAGGACAAUAUUCAGCAGCUUGUGUGUUGUGUAUCAGAUGCUCCCAUUAUUUGUGUUUCAAUCCGUUUCAACAUCUCUGUCGAAUGGGUAGGUCCAGGGAUAUGCAGAAUAACUUGCUGGAAUCAAAAAAAUUAUUAUUCUUUAUUGUUAUUUUUCGUAUUAAAAAAAAGAAGAAUGGAUAUCUAAUAUCUGACUAUUUAUUUUAGCAUUUUAAAUCAAAUAAAAUUGCAUUUUGUUGCAUGUGAUUUAAAUGCAGAACUGAAUCGUGUUUAUUAGAGAUGGCGGAUGUAGAGCUGUGAGGAAAAGAGAAAGCUCGACAUUUAAUGAAAUCCGAA